UGGGGAAUAUUGGACAAUGGGCGCAAGCCUGAUCCAGCCAUGCCGCGUGAGUGAAGAAGGCCUUCGGGUUGUAAAGCUCUUUCGGCGGGGACGAAACGGUUCGUGACAACACCACGGACUAAUGACGGUACCCGCAUAAGAAGCACCGGCUAACUACGUGCCAGCAGCCGCGGUAAUACGUAGGGUGCAGGCGUUAAUCGGAAUUACUGGGCGUAAAGGGUGCGCAGGCGGUUUGUUAAGACAGGUGUGAAAUCCCCGGGCUUAACCUGGGAAUUGCGCUUGUAACUGGCAGGCUAGAGUGUGGCAGAGGGGGGUGGAAUUCCACGUGUAGCAGUGAAAUGCGUAGAUAUGUGGAGGAACACCGAUGGCGAAGGCAGCCCCCUGGGUUAACACUGACGCUCAUGCACGAAAGCGUGGGGAGCAAACAGGAUUAGAUACCCUAGUAGUCCCUGAGCGGGCUGGCAAGGCGCAU
rnacentral:rRNA from 1 species